GGCCCGCACAAGCGGUGGAGUAUGUGGUUUAAUUCGAUGCAACGCGAAGAACCUUACCAGGGUUUGACAUCCUGCGAAUUUGGUAGAGAUACCUUAGUGCCUUCGGGAACGCAGAGACAGGUGCUGCAUGGCUGUCGUCAGCUCGUGUUGUGAAAUGUUGGGUUAAGUCCCGUAACGAGCGCAACCCUUGUCCUUAUUUGCCAGCGCGUAAUGGCGGGAACUCUAAGGAGACUGCCGGUGACAAACCGGAGGAAGGUGGGACGACGUCAAGUCAUCAUGGCCCUUACGAGUAGGGCUACACACGUGCUACAAUGGUCGGUACAAAGGGUUUGCCAACUCGCGAGAGUGAGCCAAUCCCGAAAGCCGAUCUCAGUCGGA
rnacentral:rRNA from 1 species